rnacentral:rRNA from 1 species
UGGAUUAGGCAUGCAAGUCGAGCGGGCGUAGCAAUACGCCAGCGGCGGAAGGGUGAGUAAGGCGACGGCAACCAACCCCGAGAAUGGGUAUAGCCGCGGGAAACUGCGGGUAAUCCCCAGCGAUGCGAGGGCGUCGGCAUCGACGCUUCGCCAAAGGAUUCGUCCGUCUCGGGACGGGCCGUCGUGGUAUUAGGUAGUUGGCGGGGUAACGGCCCACCAAGCCAUCGAUGCCUACCGGGCGUGCGAGCGCGGCCCGGCACACUGGGACUGAGACACUGCCCAGACACCUACGGGUGGCUGCAGUCGAGAAUCUUCGGCAAUGGGCGAAAGCCUGACCGAGCGACGCCGCGUGUGGGAUGAAGGCCUUCGGGUUGUAAACCGCUGUCAGAGGGGAGGAAUGGGCGGAGGGUAAUCUCUUCGUUUUGACCUAUCCUCAGAGGAAGUACGGGCUAAGUACGUGCCAGCAGCCGCGGUA